CCUACGGGUGGCAGCAGUGAGGAAUAUUGGUCAAUGGCCGAGAGGCUGAACCAGCCAAGUCGCGUGAGGGAAGAAGGCCCUACGGGUUGUAAACCUCUUUUGUCGGGGAACAAAGGCAGUCACGUGUGCCUCAUUGAGUGUACCCGAAGAAAAAGCAUCGGCUAACUCCGUGCCAGCAGCCGCGGUAAUACGGAGGAUGCGAGCGUUAUCCGGAUUUAUUGGGUUUAAAGGGUGCGCAGGCGGAUGUGAAAGUCAGCGGUCAAAUUGCGGGGCUCAACCCCGUACUGCCGUUGAAACUGGAGGCCUUGAGUGCGCGAGAAGUAUGCGGAAUGCGUGGUGUAGCGGUGAAAUGCAUAGAUAUCACGCAGAACUCCGAUUGCGAAGGCAGCAUACCGGCGCGAAACUGACGCUGAUGCACGAAAGCGUGGGUAUCGAACAGGAUUAGAUACCCGAGUAGUC
rnacentral:rRNA from 1 species